rnacentral:rRNA from 1 species
UGCGUAGGCUGCGCGGAAAGUUGGGUGUGAAAGCCCUCAGCUCAACUGAGGAAUUGCAUCCAAAACUACCGUGCUCGAGGGAGACAGAGGUGAGCGGAACUCAAGGUGGAGCGGUGAAAUGCGUUGAUAUCUUGAGGAACACUGGUGGCGAAAGCGGCUCACUGGGUCUCUUCUGACGCUGAGGCACGAAAGCUAAGGUAGCAAACG